rnacentral:rRNA from 1 species
AUUGAACGCUGGCGGCAGGCCUAACACAUGCAAGUCGAACGGUAACAGGAAACAGCUUGCUGUUUCGCUGACGAGUGGCGGACGGGUGAGUAAUGUCUGGGAAACUGCCUGAUGGAGGGGGAUAACUACUGGAAACGGUAGCUAACACCGCAUAACGUCGCAAGACCAAAGAGGGGGACCCUCGGGCCUCUUGCCAUCGGAUGUGCCCAGAUGGGAUUAGCUUGUUGGUGGGGUAACGGCUCACCAAGGCGACGAUCCCUAGCUGGUCUGAGAGGAUGACCAGCCACACUGGAACUGAGACACGGUCCAGACUCCUACGGGAGGCAGCAGUGGGGAAUAUUGCACAAUGGGCGCAAGCCUGAUGCAGCCAUGCCGCGUGUAUGAAGAAGGCCUUCGGGUUGUAAAGUACUUUCAGCGGGGAGGAAGGGAGUAAAGUUAAUACCUUUGCUCAUUGACGUUACCCGCAGAAGAAGCACCGGCUAACUCCGUG